CCCUUAUUUAGAGCGGUGGAGAUACAUAGGAUCUGAGAAGCCCGGCAACCCCUUAUAAGUGAUGUGUGGAUAUGAAUUCAUGUUUAUAUCCGUAUCACAUUUAUAUAUGAGAAAGGAAGGUGCCAACCUGAGCGAGAUUAUUCGAACAAUGAGAG
rnacentral:ncRNA from 2 species